GGGGAUAUAGUAUAAUUGGUAGUACACAGGUCUUGCAUAUCUGUAGUAAGAGUUCAAUUCUCUUUAUCUCCA